rnacentral:rRNA from 1 species
CGUAGGCGGCCUGCUAAGUCGGACGUGAAAUCCCUCGGCUCAACCGAGGAACUGCGUCCGAUACUGGUGGGCUUGAAUCCGGGAGAGGGAUGUGGAAUUCCAGGUGUAGCGGUGAAAUGCGUAGAUAUCUGGAGGAACACCGGUGGCGAAGGCGGCAUCCUGGACCGGUAUUGACGCUGAGGCGCGAAAGCUAGGGGAGCAAACG